rnacentral:rRNA from 1 species
AAUGAACGCUGGCGGCAUGCCUAACACAUGCAAGUCGAACGAGUGGCGGACGGGUGAGUAAUGUCUGGGAAACUGCCUGGUGGAGGGGGAUAACUACUGGAAACGGUAGCUAAUACCGCAUACCAUCAGAUGUGCCCAGAUGGGAGUAGCUUGUUGGUGGGUUAACGGCUCACCAAGGCGACGAUCCCUAGCUGGCCUGAGAGGAUGACCAGCCACACUGGAACGUAGACACGGUCCAGACUCCGACGGGAGGCAGCAGUGGGGAAUAUUGCGCAAUGGGCGAAAGCCUGAUGCAGCAACGCCGCGUGUAUGAAGAAGGCCUUCGGGUUGUAAAGUACUGUCAUCGGGGAGGCGUUACCCGCAGAAGAAGCACCGGCUAACUCCGUGCCAGCAGCCGCGGUAAUAC